UUUUUAGACCUUCCUGGAGGAGUUUGCCCCCUAACCGAUAACCCACGAAAUACCUUUCCAGCUUUUGAAAAAUCAGCAUGUAUACCAUCGUCGUCAGUCUACCUCUUAAGAGAAGUAUACUUAAAGAGCCCAACUCACUACGUCAGAUCGAGGUGCAGCUAAUAAGCUGGGGUUGGUGAACUACAAUAUUCCCACCAAACCACAAUAAAACCAAUUAUGAACAGUACUAUGAAACUAAUACUCAAAACAGGAUUCAGUAGUAAUAUCCAAAAGAAAAUGGAUAUGAACCAACAGCUCUAAAAUGCGC
rnacentral:rRNA from 1 species